rnacentral:SRP_RNA from 1 species
GCCGGGUGCGGUGGCGCGCGCCUGUAAUCCAAGCUACCGGGAGGCUGAGGCUGGCGGAUCGUUUGAGCUCAGGAGUUCUGAGCUGCAGCGGACUAUGCCGAUCGGGUGUCCGCACUAAGUUCGGUAUCGAUAUGGUGCUCCUGGGGGAGCCCGGGACCACCAGGUUGUCUAAGGAGGGGUGCACCGGCCCAGGUCGGAAACGGAGCAGGUCAAAGCCCCCGUGCCGCUCAGUAGUGGGAUCGCGCCUGUGAAUAGACGCUGUAGUGCAGCCUGAGUAAUACAGCGGAACCCAGUCUUUU